rnacentral:rRNA from 1 species
GACGAACGCUGGCGGCGUGCCUAAUACAUGCAAGUCGAGCGAUGAUUAAAGAUAGCUUGCUAUUUUUAUGAAGAGCGGCGAACGGGUGAGUAACGCGUGGGAAAUCUGCCGAGUAGCGGGGGACAACGUUUGGAAACGAACGCUAAUACCGCAUAACAAUGAGAAUCGCAUGAUUCUUAUUUGAAAGAAGCAAUUGCUUCACUACUUGAUGAUCCCGCGUUGUAUUAGCUAGUUGGUAGUGUAAAGGACUACCAAGGCGAUGAUACAUAGCCGACCUGAGAGGGUGAUCGGCCACACUGGGACUGAGACACGGCCCAGACUCCUACGGGAGGCAGCAGUAGGGAAUCUUCGGCAAUGGGGGCAACCCUGACCGAGCAACGCCGCGUGAGUGAAGAAGGUAUUCGGAUCGUAAAACUCUGUUGUUAGAGAAGAACGUUAAGUAGAGUGGAAAAUUACUUAAGUGACGGUAUCUAACCAGAAAGGGACGGCUAAAUACGUGCCAGCCGCCGCCGUAA